GACGAACCGUGCGAACGUUGUUCGGAAUCACUGGGCUUAAAGGGCGCGUAGGCGGUCGAUCAAGUCUGGGGUGAAAUCUUUCGGCUUAACCGGAAAAGAGCCUGGGAUACUGAUCGGCUGGAGGGGGGUAGGGGCAGCUGGAACUUCCGGUGGAGCGGUGAAAUGCGUUGAUAUCGGAAGGAACGCCGGUGGCGAAAGCGAUCCGCUGGACCUCUUCUGACGCUGAGGCGCGAAAGCCAGGGGAGCAAACGGG
rnacentral:rRNA from 1 species